GGAAAUCUGUUAUUUUCUGAAUAGCUAUGCAAUCUGAAACAAUUGGAUACAGACAUCAGCAUGGACACUAAAUGGGUGUUUAUAAAUGAAGACCCAUGCUGACACCGUCUACAGUUCAAAUUGUUAUGUUACAUUAAGCAACAUGGUGCUGUUGCCUCUUAUUAAUUAUGGAACUUCUUGCUGAUUCCAUUAUUGUUUUGUUCUGAUGCUAUUGC